rnacentral:rRNA from 1 species
UACGUAGGGAGCAAGCGUUAUCCGGAUUUACUGGGUGUAAAGGGCGCGCAGGCGGGCCGGCAAGUUGGAAGUGAAAUCUAUGGGCUUAACCCAUAAACUGCUUUCAAAACUGCUGGUCUUGAGUGAUGGAGAGGCAGGCGGAAUUCCGUGUGUAGCGGUGAAAUGCGUAGAUAUACGGAGGAACACCAGUGGCGAAGGCGGCCUGCUGGACAUUAACUGACGCUGAGGCGCGAAAGCGUGGGGAGCAAACAGGAUUAGAUACCCCGGUAGUACUGACU